rnacentral:rRNA from 1 species
GAAGGGCCAAGCGUUGUUCGGAAUCACUGGGCUUAAAGCGCGCGUAGGCGGAAGAUUAAGUGUCUUGUGAAAUCCCUCGGGCUUAACCGAGGAACUGCAGGGCAUACUGGUCUUCUUGAGACAAGUAGGGGUGCAUGGAACUCUGGGUGGAGCGGUGAAAUGCGUAGAUAUCCAGAGGAACGCCAGAGGUGAAAACGGUGCACUGGGCUUGUUCUGACGCUGAGGUGCGAAAGCGUGGGGAGCGAACGGGAUUAGAUACCCCGGUAGUCCACGCUGUAAACGAUGUCUACUAGAUCGUGGGAGUUCUGACACUUUCGCGAUCGGAGCAAAAGUGUUAAGUAGACCGCCUGGGGAGUACGGUCGCAAGGCUA